rnacentral:rRNA from 1 species
AACGCGAAGAACCUUACCUGGUGUUGACAUCCACGGAAUUUGGCAGAGAUGCCUUAGUGCCUUCGGGAACCGUGAGACAGGUGCUGCAUGGCUGUCGUCAGCUCGUGUUGUGAAAAUGUGGGUUAAGUCCCGCAACGAGCGCAACCCUUAUCCUUUGUUGCCAGCGGUCCGGCCGGGAACUCAAAGGAGACUGCCAGUGAUAAACUGGAGGAAGGUGGGGAUGACGUCAAGUCAUCAUGGCCCUUACGACCAGGGCUACACACGUGCUACAAUGGCAUAUACAAAGAGAAGCGACCUCGCGAGAGCAAGCGGACCUCAUAAAGUAUGUCGUAGUCCGGAUUGGAGUCGUGACAACUCGACUCCAUGAAGUCGGAAUCGCAGUAGAGUAAUCGUGAUCAGAAUG